rnacentral:rRNA from 1 species
UUGCUGGUGUGGAUGAGUGGCGAACGGCGUGAGUAAUACGUGAGUAACCUGCCCUUGACUCUGGGAUAAGCCCGGGAAACUGGGUCUAAUACUGGAUGCUACAUGUCACCGCAUGGUGGUGUGUGGAAAGGGUUUACUGGUCUUGGAUGGGCUCACGGCCUAUCAGCUUGUUGGUGAGGUAAUGGCUCACCAAGGCGACGACGGGUAGCCGGCCUGAGAGGGUGACCGGCCACACUGGGACUGAGACACGGCCCAGACUCCUACGGGAGGCAGCAGUGGGGAAUAUUGCACAAUGGGCGAAAGCCUGAUGCAGCGACGCCGCGUGAGGGAUGACGGCCUUCGGGUUGUAAACCUCUUUCAGCAGGGAAGAAGCCACAAGUGACGGUACCUGCAGAAGAAGCGCCGGCUAACUACGUGCCAGCAGCCGCGGUAAUACGUAGGGCGCAAGCGUUGUCCGGAAUUAUUGGGCGUAAAGAGCUCGUAGGCGGUUUGUCGCGUCUGCUGUGAAAGCCCGGGGCUUAACCCCGGGUGUGCAGUGGGUACGGGCAGACUAGAGUGCAGUAGGGGAGACUGGAAUUCCUGGUGUAGCGGUGGAAUGCGCAGAUAUCAGGAGGAACACCGAUGGCGAAGGCAGGUCUCUGGGCUGUUACUGACGCUGAGGAGCGAAAGCAUGGGGAGCGAACAGGAUUAGAUACCCUGGUAGUCCAUGCCGUAAACGUUGGGCACUAGGUGUGGGGGACAUUCCACGUUUUCCGCGCCGUAGCUAACGCAUUAAGUGCCCCGCCUGGGGAGUACGGCCGCAAGGCUAAAACUCAAAGGAAUUGACGGGGGCCCGCACAAGCGGCGGAGCAUGCGGAUUAAUUCGAUGCAACGCGAAGAACCUUACCAAGGCUUGACAUAUACCGGAUCGUUCCAGAGAUGGUUCUUCCCCUUUGGGGUCGGUAUACAGGUGGUGCAUGGUUGUCGUCAGCUCGUGUCGUGAGAUGUUGGGUUAAGUCCCGCAACGAGCGCAACCCUCGUUCCAUGUUGCCAGCACGUGAUGG